rnacentral:rRNA from 1 species
CCCUUCGGGGGUACACGAGCGGCGAACGGGUGAGUAACACGUGAGCAACCUACCCUCAACUUUGGGAUAAGCCUCGGAAACGGGGUCUAAUACCGGAUAAUACUGACCGUCUCAUGGUGGUUGGUUGAAAGUUCUGGCGGUUGGGGAUGGGCUCGCGGCCUAUCAGCUUGUUGGUGGGGUAAUGGCCUACCAAGGCGUCGACGGGUAGCCGGCCUGAGAGGGCGACCGGCCACACUGGGACUGAGACACGGCCCAGACUCCUACGGGAGGCAGCAGUGGGGAAUAUUGCGCAAUGGACGAAAGUCUGACGCAGCAACGCCGCGUGAGGGAUGACGGCCUUCGGGUUGUAAACCUCUUUCAGCAGGGACGAAGCGAGAGUGACGGUACCUGCAGAAGAAGGACCGGCCAACUACGUGCCAGCAGCCGCGGUAAUACGUAGGGUCCGAGCGUUGUCCGGAAUUAUUGGGCGUAAAGGGCUCGUAGGCGGUUCGUCACGUCGGGAGUGAAAACUCGGGGCUUAACCCCGAGCCUGCUUCCGAUACGGGCAGACUAGAGGUAGGCAGGGGAGAGCGGAACUCCUGGUGUAGCGGUGGAAUGCGCAGAUAUCAGGAAGAACACCGGUGGCGAAGGCGGCUCUCUGGGCCUUACCUGACGCUGAGGAGCGAAAGCGUGGGUAGCGAACAGGAUUAGAUACCCUGGUAGUCCACGCCGUAAACGUUGGGCGCUAGGUGUGGGGGACAUUCCACGUCCUCCGUGCCGCAGCUAACGCAUUAAGCGCCCCGCCUGGGGA